CGGGUGAGUAACGCGUGAGGAACCUGCCUCAAAGAGGGGGACAACAGUUGGAAACGACUGCUAAUACCGCAUAAGCCCACGGCUCGGCAUCGAGCAGAGGGAAAAGGAGCAAUCCGCUUUGAGAUGACCUCGCGUCCGAUUAGCUAGUUGGUGAGGUAAUGGCCCACCAAGGCGACGAUCGGUAGCCGGACUGAGAGGUUGAACGGCCACAUUGGGACUGAGACACGGCCCAG
rnacentral:rRNA from 1 species